UGGGGAAUAUUGGACAAUGGGCGAAAGCCUGAUCCAGCAAUGCCGCGUGAGUGAUGAAGGCCUUAGGGUUGUAAAGCUCUUUUACUGGGGAUGAUAAUGACAGUACCCAGAGAAUAAGCCCCGGCUAACUCCGUGCCAGCAGCCGCGGUAAUACGGAGGGGGCUAGCGUUGUUCGGAAAUACUGGGCGUAAAGCGCACGUAGGCGGCGCGGCAAGUCAGGGGUGAAAUCCCGGAGCUCAACUCCGGAACUGCCCUUGAAACUGCCAUGCUAGAAUCUUGGAGAGGCGAGUGGAAUUCCGAGUGUAGAGGUGAAAUUCGUAGAUAUUCGGAAGAACACCAGUGGCGAAGGCGACUCGCUGGACAAGUAUUGACGCUGAGGUGCGAAAGCGUGGGGAGCAAA
rnacentral:rRNA from 1 species